rnacentral:tRNA from 1 species
GGGCCGCUAGCUCAAUUGGCAGAGCUACUGACUCUUAAUCAGUGGGUUCCAGGUUCGAGUCCUGGGCGGCUCA